UACGGGGGGGGCAAGCGUUGUUCGGAAUUACUGGGCGUAAAGGGCUCGUAGGCGGCUAACUAAGUCAUACGUGAAAUCCCUCGGCUUAACCGGGGAACUGCGUCUGAUACUGGAUGGCUUGAGAUUGGGAGAGGGAUGCGGAAUUCCAGGUGUAGCGGUGAAAUGCGUAGAUAUCUGGAGGAACACCGGUGGCGAAGGCGGGUCUCUGGGCCGAUACUGACGCUGAGGAGCGAAAGCGUGGGGAGCGAACAGG
rnacentral:rRNA from 1 species